UACGUAGGGGGCUAGCGUUGUCCGGAAUCAUUGGGCGUAAAGAGCGUGUAGGCGGCCCGGUAAGUCCGCUGUGAAAGUCGGGGGCUCAACCCUCGGAUGCCGAUCGAUACUGUCAGGCUAGAGUCCGGAAGAGGCGAGUGGAAUUCCUGGUGUAGCGGUGAAAUGCGCAGAUAUCAGGAGGAACACCAAUGGCGAAGGCAGCUCGCUGGGACGGUACUGACGCUGAGGCGCGAAAGCGUGGGGAGCAAACAGG
rnacentral:rRNA from 1 species